rnacentral:rRNA from 1 species
AAAUUGAAGAGUUUGAUCAUGGCUCAGAUUGAACGCUGGCGGCAGGCCUAACACAUGCAAGUCGAACGGUAACAGAAAGCAGCUUGCUGCUUUGCUGACGAGUGGCGGACGGGUGAGUAAUGUCUGGGAAACUGCCUGAUGGAGGGGGAUAACUACUGGAAACGGUAGCUAAUACCGCAUAACGUCGCAAGACCAAAGAGGGGGACCUUCGGGCCUCUUGCCAUCGGAUGUGCCCAGAUGGGAUUAGCUUGUUGGUGGGGUAACGGCUCACCAAGGCGACGAUCCCUAGCUGGUCUGAGAGGAUGACCAGCCACACUGGAACUGAGACACGGUCCAGACUCCUACGGGAGGCAGCAGUGGGGAAUAUUGCACAAUGGGCGCAAGCCUGAUGCAGCCAUGCCGCGUGUAUGAAGAAGGCCUUCGGGUUGUAAAGUACUUUCAGCGGGGAGGAAGGGAGGUAAAGUUAAUACCUUUGCUCAUUGACGUUACCCGCAGAAGAAGCACCGGCUAACUCCGUGCCAGCAGCCGCGGUAAUACGGAGGGUGCAAGCGUUAAUCGGAAUUACUGGGCGUAAAGCGCACGCAGGCGGUUUGUUAAGUCAGAUGUGAAAUCCCCGGGCUCAACCUGGGAACUGCAUCUGAUACUGGCAAGCUUGAGUCUCGUAGAGGGGGGUAGAAUUCCAGGUGUAGCGGUGAAAUGCGUAGAGAUCUGGAGGAAUACCGGUGGCGAAGGCGGCCCCCUGGACGAAGACUGACGCUCAGGUGCGAAAGCGUGGGGAGCAAACAGGAUUAGAUACCCUGGUAGUCCACGCCGUAAACGAUGUCGACUUGGAGGUUGUGCCCUUGAGGCGUGGCUUCCGGAGCUAACGCGUUAAGUCGACCGCCUGGGGAGUACGGCCGCAAGGUUAAAACUCAAAUGAAUUGACGGGGGCCCGCACAAGCGGUGGAGCAUGUGGUUUAAUUCGAUGCAACGCGAAGAACCUUACCUGGUCUUGACAUCCACAGAACUUUCCAGAGAUGGAUUGGUGCCUUCGGGAACUGUGAGACAGGUGCUGCAUGGCUGUCGUCAGCUCGUGUUGUGAAAUGUUGGGUUAAGUCCCGCAACGAGCGCAACCCUUAUCCUUUGUUGCCAGCGGUCCGGCCGGGAACUCAAAGGAGACUGCCAGUGAUAAACUGGAGGAAGGUGGGGAUGACGUCAAGUCAUCAUGGCCCUUACGACCAGGGCUACACACGUGCUACAAUGGCGCAUACAAAGAGAAGCGACCUCGCGAGAGCAAGCGGACCUCAUAAAGUGCGUCGUAGUCCGGAUUGGAGUCUGCAACUCGACUCCAUGAAGUCGGAAUCGCUAGUAAUCGUGGAUCAGAAUGCCACGGUGAAUACGUUCCCGGGCCUUGUACACACCGCCCGUCACACCAUGGGAGUGGGUUGCAAAAGAAGUAGGUAGCUUAACCUUCGGGAGGGCGCUUACCACUUUGUGAUUCAUGACUGGGGUGAAGUCGUAACAAGGUAACCGUAGGGGAACCUGCGGUUGGAUCACCUCCUUA